UUUUUGCAGUGGUUUCAUGCCUUAAAGGUACACAUGCGUUCAAACAAGAUCUCAUCUCUGGGUUAGGGUAAACUGUUAAGAUUUAAACUUACUCAUUUUACCUUCCACCAUGGGGCUUACAACCGUCACUUGUGUCUUGAGUAGUUAAAAGACAGAACGGUCUAGUCAAGCGCCAUGUCUCUUGUUCUACGAUUAACUAUAGCUCCGGAGUUUUUAUAGAUUUUCAAAUAAAACUCAGAGAUUCCUUGUAUGACUCUCUCUAGUCUCUCUUUUGUGAUAUUUCUAGAUCCUUACCAAGGCAGUAAUGGUGUAUGCCUUCUCUCAAAGAAUGUGGUAUUUUUGGUACGAGGCAUAAUGGCAUUGCCUUCUCUCUCACCCUACUCUAAUAAGGUUUUGAUAUCUAGAGUUCAUAGGUGAGAGACAGCUAAUACAUACUUACAAGACAUUUAUUGCAUAGUCAAACCAUGGAUCCAAAAGAACAAGUCAAUAAGUCAAAUCAAGAUAUGCAUGUGUGGCGAAUGAAUGGUGUAUGAUGAUGAUGGUGAUAACAAUGGUGAAAGUAUAAUUCUACUUGUGCUCUUUUGAGGGGAUACAUACCUUUCUUGCUCUUUUGAAACUUUUUGAGGAGAAUGAGAUGCUCUAUAUUUUAUUUUUCUUUUCUCUCAGCGGGUAUCUUGUACCCCUAAUUCUACUGUCGAACACUUGUCCAUUUUUACCUCUCGAAUCACCUUUUUUUUCUUUCGAGGUUCCGGACACUUACCCCUUUUUAUUUCCUCGUAUCUUCUCUUUUUUAGAGCACUCACCUCUUUAAAUAAUGUCGCAAUCGGUAGUAACCGAAAUAACUUGAGCAUUUAUUUCACUAGGGAAAACAGAAAUAGGAGAAUGUUUUUGGCUAUUCUCUCUCGGAUUAAGAGUAGAAUAUUUUUGGGUGGUUCUGGAGAUGGAAAUGGGUGGAUAUAUGUGGAUGCGUACUUCCGGAGUAGAAGCAGCAUGUAUGAGUGAACGUGCAAGUGAAUCUUGAUUUUAACCACAUGACAAGCUCCUAAGGGUCUACACAGCUUGACCACACUCAAUGCUCAUGAGCAGUAAAAAGUAAAUGUGUGGCUCAAAGUCUAGCAAGCAUGUAUAUAUGGCUGUGGUAGGAAUUUAAACUCUCAUCAUACAGGAACUCAUCAUGUGAUAUUUUAAAGAUUUUCAAAGAUAAAAUUCUCCACAAUUCUAGCAUCUCUAGGAACAGAUAAACAGCAGCUCAACCUUCCCAUAUCAUAUCCGUUAACAACUUAGACUUUAGAUCAAGUACUCUUCCCACAAGUUCAGGUUUAGAGCAAAUUUUAAUUCAUAACAGUCAUGCCUAAACUUGAGAGAGAUUUCAAUUUUGAGAACUAGUCAUGGCAGAGCAACUAUUCAUCAUUUCCAUGUGAGAGCUUAUCAUGAGGGUUCAUAGCAAACUUUAUUUAUUUAUUUAUUUAGCAAACUAAGCAGAGAUAUAUAUAUAUAUAAGCACAAAAUCUUUAUUUGGGUUUUUAUGAUUAUGCAUCUUUUUAUUAUUUGAGUAAAGUAUAAACAUGAGUAGAACACUUAGCUAUAUAAAUGGGGGUGCUCUCCCCCAAGCUGGAUUUUGAUGUAAUUUCUUCUAAUGUAGCUAGCAGGUGGCGGAGGUGUAUUUGAAUGUCGGCAGCACCCUGACAACGAUUAGGAUGUCCUCCGUCUGCUAGUCUUCUUUAAUCCUUGAAUUCUGUGGAGCUCAAUUAGACAGCAAAGCUUUGCGGAACUGAUUAAGUGUUAGCAUAAAGAUCUAGCCAUUAUCAUGUUGAGCCUCCUCAAUAAAUGUUACUCUCUUUAGUAGGAUCAUAAAUUUAUUUUUAUAUUUUUAUUUUUAUAGGACAGGAAUAUAUUUAUUUCAUUUUUAUGCCACCACAGUGAAUGUACUUAUGGGUUUUAUGCCAUGAGCAUACUCACAUGGGGCUUACUAUUUUUAACAUUUUUAUUUUCUUUUCAAGAUGAUAUGAACCUGAUUAACUAAGCAAACUAUUUUAAGAUAAUUGAAAGGAAAAGGAUAGCUACCAAGUUUACCUCUUGGCAAGGCUUUUGGUGUUUUUAAGUCCUCCGAACGGGACUCUUCGUUUUCUCAGUCGUCCUGGGAUUCGCUGAAUGGCGUAGUCGGUGGUUCAGGCAGCGCCUCCUCUUCGUGUAUAACUAUCUUCUUUCUCCACACCUGACUCGGUGAUACGGUCUCCUCAGGACAGUUCUUUUCAAGCUGUAUGUCUUUAGACCUUACUUCUCCUUCGUAGUCUGCCCAUCCGUCCAUGAUGAUUUGCCUCCUCUGGUUGCGGUUGCGUCGUCUUCUUCUUGUCCUGACCUGCUUAGAGUCUUCAACUAUAUAGUUAGGGUCAAUAAAAUAGCGGCGUACCUUCUCAGAGGGGAAGUGCAUGUGGACUUCUCAGGUUCCAAUGUAGAUGAUUGCUUUAACGGUGCUGAGGAAUGGUCUUCCAAGGAUGAUGGGUGGAUCGUACUCGUCUUCUCCCAUGUUAAUAACCUGAAUGAUCGUCUAUUUUGAUAGGGAUAUCAGUUACUAUACCUUCAACCUUUAGGAAUGUCUGAUCUGCCAUCUAGAGCUGAAUGUAUGUCGAUUUUAGGGGCAUGGUUACAAAUAGGAGCUGAUAGAUGACUGCGGCCAUUAUGUUGAUGCUUGACCCGGUGUCGUAAAGCGUCUUCUGGAAGUUGUAUCCAUUAAUGGAGCACUGGAUGCUUGGCAUACCAGGGUCAUCCUUUUUGGUUAGAAACGGUGACUUAAGUUGACGAUCUUGACCUCCUUGAACUGUAGUGACCAUUUUAGCUGACUCGGUCCACAUUUGCUUGUUCAUGUUUCUCCUGUUGGUCCUCUUCCUUGGUUCAUGUCGGGAUUGCUCUGAGCUUUGUGUAGUCUUGUUCUUGAAGGAAAACGUCUCCUUCUUCCCCUUAAUGUAGAAACUAAUCUUGGCAGCACUAGCGUAGAUGACAGCUCCCGAGAUGUUCAGGAAUGGCCUCCCUAGGAUGAUGGGUGCCCUCUCAUCAGUGCCAGUCUCUAUCACCACGAAGUCUGCUGUAGCGUAUAAGGUACAAACUCGGACGUAGAGGUUCUUCAAUAUUCCCUUUGGGAAACUUAGUGUCCGAUCCUAGGCAUAAUGUUGACGUUGGAGCCAAAGUUGCAGAGUGCUUUUGGGAAGUCCACCAUGCUGUUGACGGUCCUUAAGUACUAAAAUUAAUCAUCAAAUAAA
rnacentral:lncRNA from 1 species